AAGGAAGAAAAUCAGGGCCUUGCUGCAACUAUUCGUUUGCCCAAUGACUCUCCAAGAAGCUGGUUCCAGUGUUAUACUGCUGCAAACGAUGUUCACCAACAAAGUUCCAGCUGAGAUGCCAUUUGGGAAGUCAGAAUCUUCAUUCCUAAAGGCUUAGUUCUAGAUUUUCAACCUUCCUGGGGACAAGAAGGUUGUAAUGGAGGAGGUAUUGUUACAUAUGCAGGAGAAAGAAGAGAAAUAGUAAUAAGCAAUAGAAAAGUCGAGUAGGAAGUGUUUUGGAGGAAAAUGUUGUUAGUUUAGAAGAAAGUAUUUUAGAAUAACAAAAUUAGUUUGUAGCAGUUGCGCUACUCUUGUAUAAAAGGAGAAUCCUAAUCUGUAUUCAUUCAUGCUAUUCCAUGAAUGAAUAAACAAGAAUACUCUUUUCUCAUCUCUGAAUAUUUUCUCUCUCUUCUCAUCCAAUCUAUUUCUCUUCUCAUCUACCCUCUCUUCUCCUUUCUCAUCUACUUCUAUUCUUUUAUCAUCUAUUUCUAUUUGUUUCUCUCCUUAUCCAUCUGCUUCAGCAAGUGCACAGACUGAUAUAUAACAAGUUGUCAUCCAAACCUCUCUAACAUAAACAUUAUGGAAACUUGUUGCUUACCUCCUUAUAGUUUUAGUUCAAGUAUUGUUCUAGCACCUAUUGAGAAAUGGUUGCUUAGGCCUUUGGCGUUGAAUUUACCAACACUGACAUGAUAUCGUCAUCAUGUAUUUCAUAUUAAUUUAAAAAAA
rnacentral:misc_RNA from 1 species